CCUACGGGUGGCUGCAGUGAGGAAUAUUGGUCCAUGGGCGCGAGCCUGCACCAGCCAAGUAGCGUGAAGGCUGACUGCCCUACGGGUUGUAAACUUCUUUUAUAAAGGAAUAAAGUGAGGCACGUGUGCCUUUUUGUAUGUACUUUAUGACUCAGGAUCGGCUAACUCCGUGCCAGCGGCCGCGGUAAUACGGAGGAUCCGAGCGUUAUCCGGAUUUCUUGGGUUUAACGGGAGCGUAGAUGGGUUGUUAAGUCAGUUGUGAAAGUUUGCGGCUCAACCGUAAAAUUGCAAUUGAUACUUGCAGUCUUGAGUACAGUUGAGGUAGGCGGAAUUCGUGGUGUAGCGGUGAAAUGCUUAGAUAUCACGAAGAACUCCGAUUGCGAAGGCAGCUUACUAAACUGCCACUGACAUUGAUGCUCGAAAGUGUGGGUAUCAAACAGGAUUAGAUACCCGAGUAGUC
rnacentral:rRNA from 1 species